rnacentral:rRNA from 1 species
CAGCAGCAGCCACGGUAAAACGUAGGGUGCAAGCGUUAAUCGGAAUUACUGGGCGUAAAGCGUGCGCAGGCGGUUAUAUAAGACAGAUGUGAAAUCCCCGGGCUCAACCUGGGAACUGCAUUUGUGACUGUAUAGCUAGAGUACGGCAGAGGGGGAUGGAAUUCCGCGUGUAGCAGUGAAAUGCGUAGAUAUGCGGAGGAACACCGAUGGCGAAGGCAAUCCCCUGGGCCUGUACUGACGCUCAUGCACGAAAGCGUGGGGAGCAAACAGGAUUAGAUACCCGCGUAGUCCCUGUCUCUUAUAC